UUCGGUCCAACAUAACGUAAACACGCACAGCCUGUUUACGUUAUGUUAUGCGGCACUUUAUUCCGUUUUGAGCUGCAUUGCUAACCCCUAGGCCCACAAGCAUCAGAACUGGACCGAGGGGCAGUGGAAAGCAAAUUUGUAUACAGAUGAUCACACACGAGAAAGAGCCAUCGGUUCCCACUGAGGCACCUGGGGUCGUGUGGGACACAGGUGUCCACCACGAGCAAGCGGACACUAGCUUCAGCUGCACUAGUUGGCUAAGCUAACGUUAGCUCCUCUGUAUCCACAAGCUUCAGCCCAAGCCUAGAGGCCGCUACAAGAGAUGGCCUCCCCUGUGGUUCUCCUGGCUUCCUCCCUGCUUGGAUAAUCCAAACAGAUGUGGUCUUCCCUCAGUGCCCCUCAUCAGUCCUGGGCCCCCUCUCACUUCAACUAAUCUCAGCCAUGGCUGUGAUCGCAGAGAGUACCAUCUGCUCUGCCCCAGCCCACUCUGUGAUAGGCAGACCUCCACAUCUGGACCCCUGCCUACCCCUCCUCCUCUUCCUUCCUUUUAUCCUCUCCGUGUACUAUCUCUAUCUCUGACACGGAGUGUAGUGAGGAUUUAACAGCCUAUCAAGCUUUAUAGUCUUAAUAUAUCAGUGUCGUAAUCAAGGAUGGAGUGAAGGUUAAACUUAUCUAUGCUCAAGUGUUUUUGCUACAUUUUAUAUGUAGAGUGAGGAGAGUAGUAUCCCAUGGCUAUUUGUUGCAGUCUGUUAAGUAAUACAACAUAUUUCUGCAAAGUAAUUGCUAAACUAAUGGGAAAAUAAGAGUGUGCAAAUUAAUUAUGAUGGAUUCUCAUUAUUCAUACAUCUCAAUUCAACUUUCUUUUCAUUCACACCUUAUCAUGAAUGUGCGACCAGUCCACCCAGCUGAGACCAUUAAACCAAGUGAUUUAUUUCAUGUACACGCUGAUAACUAAUUUUAGAAGGUUUUGACACAUUCAUUAAUAUGUGAUGCUGUGAAGCCAGAUAUUGAUGAACCACUUGUCUGCCUCAUCUUCUUUGUCAUCUCUGCAGCUUGGACACUACAAAAACGCGAUUCCGGGGUUUUGUCCACGCCGCCCUGCGUCGCCUCCCUCUGCCGUGUUGUUUUAGACACAAAGGACGUAGUGAAGGAGAACAAACACUGCUGACCUUUUCCAGGUCCAGUUAUUUGAUGCGUGCAUGGAAAGCGAGGCGAGGCAGCGACACUGAAGCCCAUGCUUCCCAGCAUCCCUUUCUCUCCACGUUCCCGCCUCGGCGUCCAAGAGCCUGGGCCUCUGGCUGUGUAACCAUGACAACCAAAUGAGUGUUUACAGAUGAGCCUCAUGAAAAGACGAAAUGAGCCAGCCAUGACAAGACAUUCAUCAUUGUAUGAUUAAAGAUGGAGAAACCCAACGCUCGACAGGCCUGAUGAGGUGUCUAGUUCCAGUUACCAGGCUGCACCACCACCGCUCAACCUCUGCUGAAAUGUUAGUUAGCUUAAUAAAUGUUGAUCAUUUCCAAAGGAAUUGCAUCAUCCAAUUAUUUUAAAUACGAACAAAUACAUUUGUACUGUACAACUCUUACACUGUUAAAGUCCAACACAAACACACAUUAAUGGAAACUAACAAUGUAAGUUAGUACCAACACAUGUGACACAUCCUUUAGAAGAGUGUAUUUGGGUCAUCAUCAGUUCCUUUGAAUUAUCUUUGUGCUUUUCUUGAUGUUGAUACUAAUGAAAAAUUCAAACAAAUAAGGCCACGUUGUUUAGUGUCGCUUAAGGGAUUUAUGACUAUUAAUGCUCUGGAGGGAGGUUUAAAUUUUAACCCCCCAGAAACAAUGGCUUUAUUUGCUCAUGGCUCUUCUCUUUACAUGUUAGACAUUCCUGGCGCGUCAGAUCUCACUCUCAUACAUCACUGAAUUAUUCAUGCCCUAAAACAAUGAGAAGCAACUCAUCAUUCCUUAGCUUUGGGAGAAGAACUAUGAGUCUAGCUUUAUUAAUUCCAUAUUUUAAUUUUGAAGGAUUUGAUUCAAAUAAACAGCAGAACUCCCCAUGAAUUCAGGACGCUACUUGUUUCCAUUUAGAUUGUACUGUACUAUCAAGCUGACUGAGUACAUCUAUCUACUCCUGAUACUGCAGGUCCAUUUAUUCCUCAGCAAACUAACCUCCUGCUCACCCCCACCCUGACGUCUUUGUGACCUCUGGAAAAAUCAAGGGUAAAAACGUGAAGUGAAGCCAAGUGAGAAGCCUGGCUCCGUGAGAGAUGGGAGAGAGUAAAAUGUAAAGCUCUGGAGACCAUAACCGUUGGACUGAGUACAUGCUUAUACAGAGAAUGGUUUGACUAUCGUGCUGCCUUCAGUUCAGGAGAAUUCGCUACUUACACACCAUCCAAAACAGAGCUAAUGUUUGCCAACUCCACUAAACCUGAACCUGCAAUAGUCUUUGGCAAAUAAAGGUACAACCAGUAUUUAGGUGUGAUUAGGGGCUGGAGAAGUUACAUUAACCAGUUAAAGUGCAUUAUUUGACAAUAGUUCUACAUACUGUGAAUUUCUAUAUCAAUUUGAUAGGCUGUAAAAUUCAUUAAUAAUCUAGUUAUAUUUUUUCUACACGGUUAUCAAUCUAGUGAACACAGUAUAUUAUGUUCAUUUGACUAUACAUCUUUUUUUUGUACAUAAAUUUGUGAUUACAUCAUGAAUAUAGUGCUUUAAAAUGUGUCGGCCCGUCUCUAACGUCUAACUGUUAAUCAUUUCCUGAUGAUGCAGAGGGAACUGCAGGAUUUUCUACCACAGGGCUCGUAAACCUUGAUGUAAAAGGACACCGUCAAAUGGCAAACGAGUACGCCGGCAUUUCACGACUAUAGGCAGUUAAAUACUGAGGUCACUAGUCUGUAUGACAUCUGUUAUCAAUGGAAUCUGGAAUAUUCAAUAAUAUCCACACACACCAAGCUCCAAUGCCGUCUCUUCACAGGAUUCAUGACUAUUUCUGUUAAUUCUAUCGCUGUCAUCAUCAUCGUGAGCCUUUUUCUAACUCUGUAGGUAUGUCACACUGAGCCGAGGGUGAGGAUCAUCAAACACGACCAACUGAGCGCUAAUGAACGCUCACUGACUAAGUGUAACUGAGAAUUUGGCUAAUUCCUCUGGAAGGUCCUUUGUUAUUGUCUCUGUACCACAGAUCCUGCAUUUUCACCAGCGAGGAAGCAGCAUGAAAAAACUUAGCACAUACUGUCUGCAGUGUCCUCUGUUGUUGAGUAUCAGGACCAUCAGGCCCCUCAAAAGCCAGCGUUCGUCACUCCUCACUCUCCUCCUCGUCCCCCUUGGUGCCUUUACUCCAGCGCUGGAAGCAGUGAACCGUUGACGCCAGGAAGAAGCUUGUCAUGAUGGCCACCACAGACACCGAGAUGCCAGAGAAAAUGAUGAUGAGCAGGUCUGUUAGAGUCAGGGUGGCCUGGCACUCACGGAAGCUGUCCUUUGAGAGCUGGGUCAGCGAUACGCGUCUGCCAUCCAUGGGGAGGGAGCAUUCCAUGCCUUCUACCCCUGCACACAAACAGGAAAUGGGAUUAGUUGCAGCAGACAUGGUGGACCAGCACUGUAGCGAAUAACAUCAGUCUUUAAUAUAAGCUUUUUAGAAAUGACAUUAUACAGCAGCGGAUGCAGACACUACGGCUACAGUGGCUCAGCACUGUUCGUACCCCACCACCUAAAUAUUAGUAUUCCAAAUGGGUCACAAUACAAAACAAAGCCUUUUCUAACAAAACUGACUAUGAUCCAGUCUUGCAGAUUUGUUUGUACAUGCCUCCCUCUGGUCCUUCCCUAACAUUCCUAUGGUGUUGAGGAAGGUUUUGAGUGGGACCAUUCUAAGACAACAGCAGAUGACAGUCUUGCCUUCACCAUUCAUAUCUCCAACAACAAUGACAAUGGGUGCUGAUCAUCAUGGGUCAUGAUGCCGCCGCCGCCACGUUAAUGGAUGCAGUAGGAGAACUGUACUCUUGCUAUACACCUGCACCAGGGCACAGAUGGAGUCGCUGCAGCCCCUUGAUCAUGUUGGCUGACAUCUUAUUUGGCCAGUUUGUGCAUUCACACUGCUGGAAAUGAGUUAUUACUGCAACACCACCAUGUCAGAGGCAAACCUGCACCUCCUGAUGCACUGAUGGGAACGUACUCUUUCAAACUCUAGUCAGCAUUUAUGCUAGAUAAACAAGGGACUUACUUUUUAGCACCACUGUCUCUUCAUAAUACAGUGUAUUGUUUAUAGCAUCCAAACAGAGCCUGCAGGACUUCAUCCACUCAUCGGCUGCAGUGUUGCAUUAGAGGGGGCUGUGUCUAUUUCUGUGCUUUUCCAAAAACUAGCAAUCCAGCAUUCACACCCACCUCACGGCAUGAUUAGCCAGCUGUGCUCUGGUGAGAAAGUACACAGUGUUUAAUCCUGCUUCUCCUGAGCUCCCUCUCCUUCCAUUUGUUACACAACUCUGUGGCACGUUAGAUGAGGACAACACACUUUAAUACUAUACUUAACAAGCUCACUUCCUGCCUCAAACCACAUUUUAAACACCUUUUGGUUUCCAGCAUGGUCAGAAAAACACUGUAUAAACCAUUUGUUUCCCCAGUAGAACUCAGCCUCCAGAACCAAAGCUCCCAUAACCUAAAACUGCUCAAGUCUAGAAAUACAGUGUUCUGUUUGUACAAGGUCUUGGACAUUGUUGUGGUUAAAGUUUCUGAAUUCAGCCGAGCAGUUUCCUCCCUAAGAGUGGGAGUUGAUUUAACAUCUGAGGUCAAUCAGAUGUCUUCACUUAUAAGAUGGAGCUGCACUGCGUAUACAGAAUAACCACCCACAGCUCCACUGUAGGUUCAAUGUGGCAAUGAAGUUGAAAUAUUAAAUCAAAAAUAUGAAGAAGCUGUGAAGGUGUUCAGCCUGUGGUUUGCUAUAGAGACUGAUUUAUGCUGUUUAGUGCUGACCGAUAAAUCGUUUUUAUCCUCAUCAAUCAUCCAGAUCAACAGACCAUCACUGUGGAUUAGAUAACAAUACAUUAUUUCAUACUUUCUGUACAUAUUUUGGGGAGUGAAAUCAAGAGCAAUCUAAUUAAUUGUGAAGCUAUUAAGCCGCCGGAUGAGACAGAUGUUCACAAAGAAGAAAUCAUUUACAGCUCACUUCCCCCUUAAAACAGGGCCAGUUACAUUUCAGACGUACGAGUCAGGAGCACCUUGACCAAACCCAUCUCAAGAUGAAAGCUUAAUAAAUCGGCGAGUGCUUCUCUUCA